CCCCUCUCAUGGUCACACCUGGAGAGUUUCCAGGACUCUUCCAGUCUCAGCUAUGGGAGAGAGAGUCAGGCAGAGGCCUACCCUUUCCAUUCCUAGCUUGGGCAGUUGCUAGCGAGUGGAAGGCAAUCUGCUACAAGU
rnacentral:snoRNA from 1 species